GUGCAGUGGCACGAUCUCGGCUCAUUGCAAGCUCCACCUCCCGGGUUCACGCCAUUCUCCUGCCUCAGCCUCCCGAGUAGCUGGGACUACAGGCACGCACCACCACACCCAGCUAAUUUUUUUGUAUUUUUAGUAGAGACAGGUUUCACCGUGUUCGCCAGGAUGGUCUCGAUCUCCUGACCUCGUGAUCCACUCGCCUCAGCCUCCCAGGCGUGAGCCACCGCGCCUGGCCAAAAAAAAUUUAUAUAUACUUUUUAGAAGCUUUAGUGGCUGGGCACAGUGGCUCACUCCUGUCAUCCCAGCACUUUGGGAGGCCAAGGUGGGCAGAUUUUCUGAGGUCAGAAAGACCAACCUGGCCAACAUGGCGAAACCCCGUCUCUACUAAAAAUACAAAAAAUUAGCUGGACGUGGUGGCACACACCUGUAGUCCUGGCUACUUGAGAGGCUGAGGCAGGAUAAUUGCUUGAACCCAGGAGGCGGAGGUUGCAGUGAGCCGAGAUUGUGCCAUUGUACUUGUACUCUAGCCUGGGCAACAGAAAGAUACUUCAUCUCAAAAAGAAAAAAGAAGCUUUAGCAUGUGUUACUUUAUUUUUACCAAGGUGGAAUAAGGAGAUACCCUUUUUUAUCUGAUCAGAUUGAGUGUAGGGACAUGGAUUCCCCCAUAAUUUGUGAGAAUAUACAAAUCCAGGCAACAUUUUUGGAGACAAUUUGGAGUGAGUACAGAAGUGUCUAACUCCCUUACCCUACAACUCAACAGCCCUGCUUCUAGGAAUCUAUUUGAUAGAAAAACUUGCACAAAUGUAAAAAUAAAUAUGGGGCCGGGCGCGGUGGCUCACGCCUGUAAUCCCAGCACUUUGGGAGGCUGAGGUGGGUGGAUCAGCUGAGGUCGGGAGUUCGAGACCAGCCUGACCAACAUGGAGAAACACCGUCUCUACUGAAAAUACAAAAUUAACCGGGCGUGGUGUCAGGUGCCUGUAAUCCCAGCUACUCAGGAGGCUGAGGCAGGAGAAUCGCUUGAACCCAGGAGGCGGAGGUUGCAAUGAGCUGAGAUUGUGCCAUUGCACUCCAGCCUGGGCAACAAGAUUGAAACUCUGUCUCAAAAAAUAAAUAAAUAUGAACAAAGUUGUAUGCUAUGUCAUUGUUUAUUGUAUCAAAACAGAUCGGAACAACCCAACCAUCCAUUGGCAGGGGAAUGAUUUAAAUAGUUGUGCUAGAUGGAAUCUCAUGUAGUCAUUUUUUUUAAUAAAGAGAGGUGGCUUGGCCGGGCGCGGUGGCUCAAGCCUGUAAUCCCAGCACUUUGGGAGGCCGAGACGGGCGGAUCACGAGGUCAGGAGAUCGAGACCAUCCUGGCUAACACGGUGAAACCCGUCUCUACUGAAAAUCUGAAAAACUAGCCGGGCGGUGGCGGGCUGUAGUCCCAGCUACUCGGGAGGCUGAGGCAGGAGAAUGGCGUAAACCCGGGAGGCGGAGCUUGCAGUGAGCUGCGAUCCGGUCACUGCACUGCAGCCUGGGCGACAGAGCGAGACUCAGUCUCAAAAAAAAAAAAAAAAAAA
ensembl:lncRNA